UUGUGGUACUGAUGCUGAACCAAGGAGGCAGCAGAAGCAUCACACCGAGCAUCAAUGCGCGAAUCCUAUUACAUCAUUCUGUCUGGAUCUGAUUUGCUGAAGGUCAGAGCUUUCAAUACAGCACGGUUUUCCGUCCAUCCAGUUUAUUUUGUAAUCUUCCCUCGUUUAACAGAUCCCUAGCAGCGCUGCUCAAACCCUUAAUAAUACAAAGCAUCAGGAUGGCUGAGAGCGAGGCAGGAACCCCGAGCACCCCAGGAGAGUUUGAGAGCAAAUAUUUUGAAUACAAUGGAGUGAGGCUCCCUCCCUUUUGCAGGGGGAAGAUGGAGGAGAUUGCUAACUUCUCUCUCAGGAGUAGUGACAUAUGGAUUGUCACGUACCCCAAAUCAGGUACAAGUCUGCUCCAGGAGGUGGUGUAUCUGGUGAGUCAGGGCGCGGACCCAGAUGAGAUUGGACUGAUGAACAUCGAUGAGCAGCUUCCUGUUCUGGAGUACCCUCAGCCUGGACUUGACAUCAUCCAGGAGCUGACAUCUCCUCGUCUAAUUAAAAGUCAUCUGCCGUAUCGGUUCCUCCCCACAGCCUUGCACAAUGGCGAGUCCAAGAUGAUAUACAUGGCGAGGAAUCCCAAAGAUCUUGUGGUGUCUUACUACCAAUUUCAUCGUUCCUUGCGGACCAUGAGUUACAGAGGAACAUUUCAGGAGUUCUGCCGGAGGUUUAUGAAUGACAAAUUGGGUUAUGGGUCCUGGUUUGAGCAUGUCCAAGAAUUCUGGGAGCACCGCAUGGAUUCCAACGUUCUUUUCUUGAAAUAUGAAGAUAUGUACAAGGACCUUGCGACUCUGGUAGAGCAGCUGGCGAGGUUCCUGGGAGUUUCCUGUGACAAGGCCCAGCUCGAGACCAUGGUAGAGAACUGCCACCAGCUUAUUGAACAAUGCAGCAAUUCCGAGGCUCUCUCCAUCUGCAGGGUUCAUGGACUCUGAGGUGAAGAUACGUUGGUGUGGUUGUGUGAAAAAGGUCAUUAGAGACCAUAAUGCAUGACACAUACAAACACUUGAGCCAAAUAUUAUAACAAGGACGAGUUGGCCUUUGGAAAGAUGUCUUCACUGUAUCGAUGAAUGAGAAGUUUGACACAGUUUACAAACAGAAGAUGGGAAAGUCAGACCUCAACUUUGAAUUCAGCUUGUAGAGGCCACUUUGCAUGCACUUCCUGUUCUCUCAAUCCCACAUGUAAAGCUUUCAAAUGUGCUCUAUAAAGCUGCUGAAUUAGCUGGCUAUUUCAUGCGUAAUACAACAGCACCCAGAUUUAAAUAGAAACUUCUGCAUCUUCACUUGCUGUUUAAUCUUUCUGUAUAAUCUUUCUAUUAUAUACAUAUAUGAUAAACCGUAAUCACAAAGCCUUGUGUAAACCAAUGACACUGCCCUGAAUAAAAUUCCCUGCAGGUAACUUAAGUGGUGUACUUGGUAUCCACCUGUAAAAGGUAAACCAGAACCAAAAAAAAGACAAUAACUUAGUCGUGCCAGAAGAAUCUCAGGGUUCAGCUGUUGCAGUAAAAGUCAGACCUCCCAGGUUGAAAUCGUAUGACAAGCUCAACCCCCAGUACUAUGAGAACCCGUACCAAUGUCUGCUUCAUCUUAAAAGGAGUGAUAACCUAGGCUUUUAAAUGCAUUUUCUUACCUCUCAUCAAAAUUGGCAACCCUAUAUCUCUGUUUCCCCCCCUUUUGUUGUGUCAAAGAUAUAUUGGUCUUUUGGAAGUUUGUCUUUUAACUUUUAUUUCGGAUGUUCAGUACCACUUUCCAAUUGUAUAGUGUUCUGCUUGAAAAAUCAGUAAAUUCUCAAUUAAAGUGAAAAAAUAAAACCAAAGAAUAACACAAAUAACUUCAGUGCAACAAACACAAACCACUGAUAAUGUUGCUAAAAACAUGGCUAUGACUCCUUUUAAAGCAACUCAUUUGCCUUUGAAACCGUACAUUAUUCUUGGACACCGGCAUGUAGGACUGCAGUAUGGUUUGUAUCCCUCACAAGGCAGUCAACAUAUGCACAUCCUCAGCUGACACUUCUCUGAAUGCCUGGGGAAAGCACGAUCACAAUGAUGCACGAAAAUACUGUCUCAAAUGUUUCACUUUUGUGUUACAUUCAUGUAUCUAACAAAUGAAUUAAAGAAAAAAGGGUUUAAGUCACAAUAGCCUCUAUAACCUGAGUUUUGGUGCCCAGAUCAAUCACCUUAAUGCUUAAUACAGCCAUGUUUUAUUACCAGCAUUACCAAAAUAACAAAACUAACACAUGGUAGCCACGUGAUCGCAGUUGGGAAAUCGACAUUGCUUCUCCAUUUCUGUUGAAUCAACAUGUUGGCAAAUAAAACUCCCAGGGUUUAAAUGUGUGGAUUUAAAAAAAAAAAAAAAAAAACCUGCAUAGGCAAUCCAUUCCACUCCUACAUUAAACAUUGGCUCAGCCUGGCCUGGAGGUCCACCCUGCCACCAUUACUGCACAGUUACGCACUUUUGAAUGUUUUUAGUAUUGUGUGGCUGUAUGAAGCUAAUGUACAUGUAGAUAUUAUAAGUGGCGGUUCAAAUAGCAUGGCUCGGCUUAAUAGCGUGACUUUCUCUGCUGUGCAGUCUCUUUUACUGGCUAUCUUGUUUAGGUAAUAUUUUUAUAUUCUUUGGUUAAUGUAUAAAUCCUAAGCAACUGUAAUGUCCAUGCUUGCUUCCUAAUUUAGUAAUAAAGAUAUGUGUCUGA